UGUCUCCGCAGAACUAUGUGUCAUUAAGUAAGGUGAUAAUCAAUAUUCAAUAUCAAAAGAUGCAUCUAUUUCUCGAUGAGGAGAAGCAACUUCAUCUGCAGGCACUGGACAGCGAAGCCAAAUAGCUUUUCCAACAACUACAAGACAGUCAAGUGAGAAUGACCCAACAUUUAGAAAGGAUGAAAGACAUGUACAGAGAGCUGUGGGAGACGUGCCUCAUGCCUGACGUGGAGCUGCU
rnacentral:lncRNA from 1 species